rnacentral:rRNA from 1 species
UAAGUCCGAGGUUAAAAGAUCUAUUUUAUAAUAUCUUUUAGUAUUUUAAAAAUUAUGUUGAAAAAUAAUUUAACAAUUAAAAAGUAGUGGUGAAAUACCUUCAAUUUUUAGGAUAUCUGAUUAUUUUUCAAAAGUAUUUAGUACUAAACAAAGUUUUAAGCAUUAGGUAUUAAGGUUUAAUGUUUAAAGAGAUUAGUUUAAAAUUAUUUUAUAGUGGAGUUCUCUUCUAUAGAAAGAAUUUAAUAAUUAAUUUAGAAGUAUUCCUUUAUAUUAAAAAAUAAUAAAGAUUAUUUUUUAUCUUUAUCUAGUCUGUUUAAAUUAGUAGUUAUUUNAAUUUUAAUAAAGGAACUCGGCAAAUAUUUCUUUCAACUGUUUAUCAAAAACAUAGUCUUAUGAUUUUUUAUAAGAUUACUCCUGCCCUAUGAGUCGUUUAAAUGGCCGCAGUACUUUGACUGUGCUAAGGUAGCAUAAUAAAUUGGCUUUUAAUUAAGGUCUUGUANAAAAGGAGAAAUGAAGGUGAGCUGUCUUUAUUAAAGUUAUUCUAAUUUUUCCAUUAGGUGAAAAGACCUACUUAUAAUAAUUAGACAAGAAGACCCUAAGAGUUUAAAUUUUUUUUUGUUGGGGCAACAGAAUGGUACUUUAAAUAAACAAAAACGGAGAUCCAAAAUGAAUAAACUACCUUAGGGAUAAC